rnacentral:rRNA from 1 species
AACCCGGUGAUCUAGCCAUGGGCAGGUUGAAGGUUGGGUAACACUAACUGGAGGACCGAACCGACUAAUGUUGAAAAAUUAGCGGAUGACUUGUGGCUGGGGGUGAAAGGCCAAUCAAACCGGGAGAUAGCUGGUUCUCCCCGAAAGCUAUUUAGGUAGCGCCUCGUGAACUCAUCUUCGGGGGUAGAGCACUGUUUCGACUAGGGGGUCAUCCCGACUUACCAACUCGAUGCAAACUACGAAUACCGAAGAAUGUUAUCACGGGAGACACACGGCGGGUGCUAACGUUCGUCGUGAAGAGGGAAACAACCCAGACCGCCAGCUAAGGUCCCAAAGUCAUAGUUAAGUGGGAAACGAAGUGGGAAGGCUCAGACAGCCAGGAUGUUGGCUUAGAAGCAGCCAUCAUUUAAAGAAAGCGUAAUAGCUCACUGGUCGAGUCGGCCUGCGCGGAAGAUGUAACGGGGCUAAACUAUGCACCGAAGCUGCGGCAGCGAACGUAUCACUUAAACUGAUUAAGUGAUACUCAAAUGUAUCAAAACGAUUGACGGAGCGAAGCGACGUCAAUGCGUCCAACAAAGUCGAGGCGGAAACGUCAGGCAGUCAGUUUAAGGAUACGUUCGUUGGGUAGGGGAGCGUUCUGUAAGCCUGUGAAGGUGUGCUGUGAGGCAUGCUGGAGGUAUCAGAAGUGCGAAUGCUGACAUAAGUAACGAUAAUGCGGGUGAAAAACCCGCACGCCGGAAGACCAAGGGUUCCUGUCCAACGUUAAUCGGGGCAGGGUGAGUCGACCCCUAAGGCGAGGCAGAAAUGCGUAGUCGAUGGGAAACGGGUUAAUAUUCCCGUACUGGUGAUAAUUGCGAUGGGGGGACGGAGAAGGCUAGGCUAUCCGGGCGACGGUUGUCCCGGUUUAAGGAUGUAGGCAGGUGAA